CUCCCUCCCUCCCUCUCUCUCUCUGUCUUUUUUUUUCACUCUGUCUCUCACACUCUCGCUUGCUCUUUUUCUCUCUCUCCCUCCCUCCCUCACUCUCUCUCUCUCUCCCUCUCCCUUUCCCGUCUCUGUGUUUUGUAAGGUAGGUUGCAGUGUGUGUAUAUACACAACAUCAAGAGCAGGAAAAUGGACUCAUUAGGGAGACAGGCAGUCAUUACCAUUCACACUGCACUUCCAGGGAGACAGCGACUAUGAGGAGACAGACUGAGGACUGGGGAGCAAGGAAAUUUGAGAGCUUAACAUCUCUGCUGCUUCCUGCUUUUGCUGCGACAAUUCCUUCUUGUAUUUUCAAACAGAGCUCAGCCUUGCAUCCCAUCCUAUCCUGUUGAUUUCACUUUGGUUACAUGAGUGCCUGAAGUUACAUUUUAGAUGCUGAAAUCACUGCACCUUAAAAACAAAAAAAAAAGGUUGAAUUGAAUUGCAUUCCU